rnacentral:rRNA from 1 species
AUGAACGCUAGCUACAGGCUUAACACAUGCAAGUCGAGGGGCAGCAUGGUCUUAGCUUGCUAAGGCCGAUGGCGACCGGCGCACGGGUGAGUAACGCGUAUCCAACCUGCCUUACACUCUUGGACAGCCUUCUGAAAGGGAGAUUAAUACAAGAUGUUAUCAUGAGUAAGCAUUUUCGCAUGAUUAAAGGUUUACCGGUGUAAGAUGGGGAUGCGUUCCAUUAGAUAGUAGGCGGGGUAACGGCCCACCUAGUCUUCGAUGGAUAGGGGUUCUGAGAGGAAGGUCCCCCACAUUGGAACUGAGACACGGUCCAAACUCCUACGGGAGGCAGCAGUGAGGAAUAUUGGUCAAUGGACGAGAGUCUGAACCAGCCAAGUAGCGUGAAGGAUGAAGGUUCUAUGGAUUGUAAACUUCUUUUAUACGGGAAUAAACGGAUCCACGUGUGGAUUUUUGCAUGUACCGUAUGAAUAAGGAUCGGCUAACUCCGUGCCAGCAGCCGCGGUAAUACGGAGGAUCCGAGCGUUAUCCGGAUUUAUUGGGUUUAAAGGGAGCGUAGAUGGGUUGUUAAGUCAGUUGUGAAAGUUUGCGGCUCAACCGUAAAAUUGCAAUUGAUACUGGCAGUCUUGAGUACAGUUGAGGUAGGCGGAAUUCGUGGUGUAGCGGUGAAAUGCUUAGAUAUCACGAAGAACUCCGAUUGCGAAGGCAGCUUACUAACCUGUAACUGACAUUGAUGCUCGAAAGUGUGGGUAUCAAACAGGAUUAGAUACCCUGGUAGUCCACACGGUAAACGAUGAAUACUCGCUGUAGGCGAUAUACAGUCUGCGGCCAAGCGAAAGCAUUAAGUAUUCCACCUGGGGAGUACGCCGGCAACGGUGAAACUCAAAGGAAUUGACGGGGGCCCGCACAAGCGGUGGAGCAUGUGGUUUAAUUCGAAGCAACGCGAAGAACCUUACCAGGGCUUAAAUUGCAACCGAAUAUGGCGGAAACGCUAUAGCUAGCAAUAGCGGUUGUGAAGGUGCUGCAUGGUUGUCGUCAGCUCGUGCCGUGAGGUGUCGGCUUAAGUGCCAUAACGAGCGCAACCCUUGCCGAUAGUUACUAACAGGUUAUGCUGAGGACUCUGUCGGGACUGCCAUCGUAAGAUGUGAGGAAGGUGGGGAUGACGUCAAAUCAGCACGGCCCUUACGUCCGGGGCUACACACGUGUUACAAUGGGGGGUACAGAGGGCUGCUACCACGCAAGUGGAUGCCAAUCCCAAAAACCUCUCUCAGUUCGGAUUGAAGUCUGCAACCCGACUUCAUGAAGCUGGAUUCGCUAGUAAUCGCGCAUCAGCCACGGCGCGGUGAAUACGUUCCCGGGCCUUGUACACACCGCCCGUCACACCAUGAGAGUUGGGAAUACCCGAAGCCUGUGAGCCAACUGUAAAGAGGCAGCAGUCGAAGGUAGAAUCAAUGAUUGGGGUG